AGUAAGCGCUGAUUGGUCUGAGGAAGGAAAAACAGUGUACCCCGCCUAACGAUUGGAGGGGAGGGGAGGGGAGGGGAGCAGCGGCGGCGGCGGCGGCGGCGAUGGCGAUGCUGCUGCCCGUAACAGCCGCGGCACCUUCCCGCCCCCAGCGCCUCGUGGGGGCCGCCGUGCUCGCGCCGCUCUCUGCUAGCCCGCCGCGGGAGCAGGACUUGUGCGCAGGCGCGCUGCGGCGGGGCCAUUAGCAUCCCUGGCCGCUGAAGGGGGUCAUCCCCUACAGCUGUGAGGAGGGGAUGGAUCCUUCACACGCUGAUCCGGUACCCGCAGUAUGCCUAAGGCUGCUAAAAGCAGCUGUUUCUUUGAGCUGGCCCUUUUUUCUAGGAGUUGGAUUACAGUAAUGCAAAUGCACUGAGCGGAACAGUUCAGCCUUUCUCAGUUUACAUUCUGGCUGUGUUCUUUAUAGUGUUCUUUAUAGCAGAUCUGAUGCAUGCUUUGUGACUGGCCUUAGAAAAAAAACUUUUAUUCCAUAUCGAUGGACACAUUUGAUCACAAAAAUAAUGAGAACCAUUGCAUCUGGGCUUCGUGUUGCCUGAUACCAUUUUUUGCUGAAAGUCUGUAAAAUGCACAGAUGUACACACACAAAAUACUUAUUUAUGAACUGGCUAAUCAACAGAUCCCAAAAAGGAGGUAUCAAGAAGUGUUGAAGCUGUUCAUUUCAGAAGGAUACCUAACAGAUUGGCUAUAACCAUGACAUAUGUUGAGUAUUUUAUUGGUGAUACAGAGGUUAAUAUGAAACAGCUGCCAAUAAACUUGAUACAAAGGUGGUGUUAAGGCUGGAGGCAAGUGCCUGGGUUGUUGACUAGGUCCUGGCCUGAGGUUAAGCCAACUAUGGGGAUGUGGAAAUGCAGUGAACGUGAGGUGAGAAAUUGCUGAAUGUAAAUAACUUUGAGAGAAGCUGAUGAAAGCUACAGCUCAUGCUGUGGAAGGUGGCUGGAUCUCACGUGGCUAUGGGGGAGUUAUGUAUAGAAUAGCCACACUUCCUAGGUAUUUGAAGGGGAAUAUUUUGGAAGGGGCAUCUUUUUGUGGAACACAAUCUUACCACACUGAGAGCGCCUACAUAACCACAUUGCAAGUAUGGGAUCGCUUAGGUACGGUACUGGACAGACCAGAUUUGAAAACGAAUUUAUCAAAACUGGGACCAAGGGAGAAAAAGGAGUCCUGUAUUUGUGAUGAGUCUAGGACUGAGAAAGGGAAGCACAAGGUUGGUGAAAGCUGAGAAAUGGGAAAAGAGAUGAUAAGCUCUGGAAAGAAACACAUACUUUUUCCUGCUUUUGGCAGUUAGGUUAAAGCUUGUGGUAAAAUAUGUUAUGUUUAAGCCUAACUUACUCUGAUCAAUAGUAGGGCUACUACAUGAACGUUUCUAAACCAUGCUAAGAAGAGAUAGGGUAGGGUUAAUUUUACUUCCUCUGAGCUAUCUGAAAGGCAGAUAGCCAGUCAGAGCUGGUGAUCUGUGUUCCUUCUGCAGCCAGCACAAGGGAGACUGCCAAACCCUAUGUCCUUCCAGUCCAUAGAUGAGGUGUGGGACUCUCUGGAGGUGUCUUUCUUCUUCUCAGCUGAUGUGAGGGAGCGUCUGAAGCUCUGUUAGUCUAAAUGUGUAACUUGCAGUCAAUUAAAUAAAGUUAAUUCUUUCUAAACUGCUUCCUUCCACAAGUAAUGCCAUUUCUCGCCAUCCUGUCCUGUGCUGUAUCCCCUAACCUAACUUGUUACUAGCUUCCUGCCUUCAUGGAUAUACUUUUUCACUGGAUGAUCUGCAUUUUGGUUUUAAGUUAAAACUGAAUAGCUUUAAUUCAGCUGAUCACCCACUUUCUAGAUUUUAACUUGCUCCCCUUGGAAAUAACAAGGCAGCCUGUGUAUCUCAGUGAUGAAUUGCUGCAUAGUUCAAACAUCCAUUUUCAUCCUGCCAGUGCCUUUUCAUUUUCAGAUGCUUUUCUGUGCAUCUCCAUCUCAUCAAAAUACCUUGAAAAUAUCUGAGAAUUUUGUUUUCAGCAUCUGUGUAAGACUGAGAAAUAUUAUUCACAUCUUACAUUGGAAAACUAAGGCAUGGGAAAGUGAGAGGCAUACCUGAAGUUGUACAGGAUGCCCAAAUCAGAUCUAUAGAUCAACCCCAGAGAUCCUGAUAUCCAUUCCAGCACAUUAAGAACUUUCUCAUUUGAGGAUUUCUUCGGCACUCACUAGUUGCAGUAAUCUUCGAGGAGAUGUAUAUUAUUAUAUAUAGCCACUUCAAACAGUGAUAAUUUUACACCUAUGAUAGGGUCAGCCUAUACAGGUUGGCACUGAGGACAACAAAUAGGUGAUUGCUCACCUGCAUACUGGAUAAUUACUAAUCUGCUAUGAAUGACUUUUCAGCUAGAGUUCUCCUGUGUUUUGUUCUGUUAUCUGGCCAGUGCAGUGUAUGUAUGAGCCCACACAGGAAAUCCGUGAUGAUAUGAGAGUUGUGGUAGCUUCAGUAGGAGGAUAAUACCCCACUGUACAUAUCGAUUUCAUCAGAUCCAGCUGGUGCUGUUCAGUAGCUUACUUCAUAUAUGGCCAAACUGAGUUACAGAUUUGUGUGGGCUGGAAAUAACUAGAAAAGAACAAGUUGAGAAAUCAUAUGAAUAGUCUGUUGUGCAGGUUCACAACUUCAGGUCAUGCUGGAUCUAUAUGUUCUGUUGGAUGUGCAUGUAAAAAGAACAGAAGAAAACAUAUUUUGUGUAUAUAUCUUGUUAGGAAUUUCCUUUUGAGUGUCCAUCUUUCAGCAGCUAAGCAUGGUACAGUUGUCAUUUUUACUGCGCUACAUUUGAUGUAAGUACAUUCUUGAAUAUUUCAAAA